rnacentral:rRNA from 1 species
AACGAACGCUGGCGGCAGGCCUAACACAUGCAAGUCGAACGCUCCGCAAGGGGAGUGGCGCACGGGUGAGUAACACGUGGGAACCUACCUUCUGGUACGGAACAACCAAGGGAAACUUUGGCUAAGACCGUAUACGACCUCCGGGUGAAAGAUUGAUCGCCGGAAGAGGGGCCCGCGUCCGAUUAGGUAGUUGGUGAGGUAACGGCUCACCAAGCCUUCGAUCGGUAGCUGGUCUGAGAGGAUGACCAGCCACACUGGGGACUGAGACACGGCCCAGACUCCUACGGGAGGCAGCAGUGGGGAAUAUUGGACAAUGGGCGCAAGCCUGAUCCAGCCAUGCCGCGUGAGUGAUGAAGGCC